rnacentral:rRNA from 1 species
CGCCUCUUGAAUUAAAUAAGAGGUCCAGCCUGCCCAGUGACAUCAGUUCAACGGCCGCGGUAUCCUGACCGUGCAAAGGUAGCGCAAUCACUUGUUUUUUAAAUAAAGACUAGUAUGAAAGGCAUCACGAGGAUCAACCUGUCUCCUUUUUCUGAUCUGUGAAACUAAUCUUCCCGUGAAGAAGCGGGAAUUCCUCUAUAAGACGAGAAGACCCUAUGGAGCUUUAGACAACGCAAUAACUGCUUCAUUUUCGCACUUUAACCGCGCAGUCUUAGGUUGGGGUGACCGCGGAGUAAAAUCCACCCUCCACGCUGAAUUAGGCCCUCCCCUAACAAAGAGCAACAACUCUAUGUAUCAACAAUUUGACAGCAAUUGACCCAAUCACUUGAUCAACGAAACAAGUUACCCUAGGGAUAACAGCGCAAUCCACUUCGAGAGCCCGUAUCAACAAGUGGGUUUACGACCUCGAUGUUGGAUCAGGGUAUCCCAGUGGUGCAGCCGCUACUAAAGGCUCGU